rnacentral:misc_RNA from 1 species
UCUCCGUUGGUGAACCAGCGGAGGGAUCAUUACUGGAAUCGCAAGAUCCCACAACCCCUGUGAAUCUACCGAAACGUUGCCUCGGCGGGCGCCCGGCCCCGCGCCGGGCGCUGAGCCCGCCGGCGGCCCCCUACUCUUGUCUCUGCAGCGUGGUAUCUCAGAGUCCCAGAAAACAAGUAAAAACUUUCAACAACGGAUCUCUUGGCUCUA